rnacentral:rRNA from 1 species
CCUACGGGAGGCAGCAGUGGGGAAUAUUGCACAAUGGGGGAAACCCUGAUGCAGCGACGCCGCGUGAGUGAAGAAGUAAUUCGUUAUGUAAAGCUCUAUCAGCAGGGAAGAAAAUGACGGUACCUGAGUAAGAAGCCCCGGCGAACUACGAGCCAGCAGCCGCGGUAAUACGUAGGGGGCAAGCGUUAUCCGGAUUUACUGGGUGUAAAGGGAGCGUAGACGGCAGUGCAAGUCUGGAGUGAAAGCCCGGGGCCCAACCCCGGGACUGCUCUUGGAACUGCGCGGCUGGAGUGCCGGAGAGGUAGGCGGAAUUCCUAGUGUAGCGGUGAAAUGCGUCGAUAUUAGGAGGAACACCAGUGGCGAAGGCGGCCUACUGGACGGUGCCUGACGCUGAGGCUCGAAAGCGUGGGGAGCAAACAGGAUUAGAUACCCCUGUAGUC